rnacentral:lncRNA from 7 species
GGGGCAGCCGCCGGCAGGUCCUGGCAGCGCCACUCCACUCCGCUCCGCUCCACGGCCCCGCCCGGUGCAGCAGUGGCAUCACCGGGACCGGCGCCAAACGGGCGGUGCCGGAGCCGUUCCGCUGCUCCGAGCGGCGCCGCGACGCUACGCCACGGAGAAGGACAGCACCACUCCCUGUCACAGCACCCUGGGCACUGACCCCACUCUUCGCCAUGGCCACCAAUUCCCCCGUGUUCCCCAUGGGCUCUGGGGUGACAACAGCGGUGCCACGAGUCCCUGAAACAUCAGCGCCGGAUACGGUGGUGUUGGUGUGUGCCUUCACUGCUGCUUUCGUGGCCGUGGCCAUCGUGGUAGUAGUGGUGUGUCGAUGUUGGAAGCGGUGCUGCGGGAGAACAGCCCAGGACCCUGCAGCAUUGGAAGGGAACAGGAACGGUGCGGCGGUGCCCAUGGGAGCCCCGAAGAGCCCUGAAGACUGAGCCCGGCGGGAGCCCCGCGCGCGUCCCCACUAAUACAAUAAAGCUCCGCUGCU